rnacentral:rRNA from 1 species
GGCCAGACUCCUACGGGAGGCAGCAGUCGGGAAUAUUGCACAAUGGAGGAAACUCUGAUGCAGUGACGCCGCGUGCAGGAAGAAGGUUUUAGGAUUGUAAACUGCUUUAGACAGGGAAGAAAAAAGACAGUACCUGUAGAAUAAGCUCCGGCUAACUACGUGCCAGCAGCCGCGGUAAUACGUAGGGAGCGAGCGUUAUCCGGAAUUAUUGGGUGUAAAGGGUGCGUAGACGGGAAAACAAGUUAGUUGUGAAAUCCCUCGGCUUAACUGAGGAACUGCAACUAAAACUAUUUUUCUUGAGUGCAGGAGAGGUAAGUGGAAUUCCGAGUGUAGCGGUGAAAUGCGUAGAUAUUAGGAGGAACACCAGUGGCGAAGGCGACUUACUGGACUGUAACUGACGUUGAGGCACGAAAGUGUGGGGAGCAAACAGGAUUAGAUACCCUGGUA